ACGACCUUACUUGAACAGGAUCUGUUCUAUAGGAUCGUACUGCAACAAUGUAGUAGACCGGCAAUUGCUGAUCCCAGCAAA
rnacentral:snoRNA from 1 species